GUCCUUUUCUCUUUCUUUCCCCACAAGCAGGCCCGGACUGAUAAUCUGUCCGUUCGGGCAUUUGCCCGAAUGGCCGCUCUAUCCUGUGAUGAAGUGGGCCGGGCGCUGCACUUAUCUGCUAUUAAAAGGAAAAUAUAUUUUAGGAGCAAGGAGCGCACAGUUCACAUAGUUUGCGUGCGCACGCUGAAGUUACUUCCAGAGGGAGGGGGAGAGAGAGCGAGUGAGGGAGUGAGGAGAAGUCAGCUUUACUGAUAAGAGUGCACAUCUCUUUCCCUGCCUCUGACUGCUCCGUUUAGGGAAGGGGUGUCCAACCCGCGGCCCAGGAUGGUGAUCCAUGCGGCCCAGCUUGUGCUGCUCAUGUCGCUGGUGGAGUCUGAACGAUAUGAUUGGGCAAACCAAGGGCUGUGUGCAAGCGGGAACCUGGAUUGGCACUUCCUCAAUAGAAUACGGUGGUGGACACUUCUGAGACGCGGCAGUGGCGGUUAAGUGACACUGGUUAAGAUGCUCCGUACAGUGACACUCCUAUUCCCUAUUGCCUCUUGAAACGCAUUGGAAGUUAGGAGCAGUCAGCGUCUUCUCCUUUGAAAUUUCUACUUCUUGUACUUUUAUCCACUUUGUGAGUAGACAUCUGUUUUUACUAUUUAUACAACAUUAAAAGCUUUAAUGCAUGA